UCCGAAGGGGGCUAGCGUUGUUCGGAUUUACUGGGCGUAAAGCGCACGUAGGCGGAUCUUUAAGUCAGAGGUGAAAUCCCAAGGCUCAACCUUGGAACUGCAUUUGAUACUGGGGAUCUUGAGUCCGGGAGAGGUGAGUGGAACUGCGAGUGUAGAGGUGAAAUUCGUAGAUAUUCGCAAGAACACCAGUGGCGAAGGCGGCUCACUGGCCCGGUACUGACGCUGAGGCACGAAAGCGUGGGGAGCAAACAGG
rnacentral:rRNA from 1 species